UCUUUGGGACGCCAUUUAAAAAAGGGCAAUCAUGAACUUGUUUAAUAAAACAUAACAUUUGUAAUGGAUAAAAAUCGAAGGAAAGGUGAAAGUAGGAACAGCUUGCUUUCUGCUCUCUUUGGAAGAUAACACCAAUGAAGGAAAGAAAACUUGUUCGGCUUUCUUAAAAAGAUGGUCCAGCUAUGUUCAGUCAACCACAUCAGAUUCAGAGGACAAUAUGCCAAGUAGUGAUGAUUCCUUCACUGAGUCUUUAACUGAUGUGCCAGACCUUUCUUUGGAUGAUGGAGUUGA